CCUACGGGACGCAGCAGUAGGGAAUCUUCCACAAUGGGCGAAAGCCUGAUGGAGCAACGCCGCGUGGGUGAAGAAGGUCUUCGGAUCGUAAAACCCUGUUGUUAGUGAAGAAGAAUGACGGUAGCUAAGGAGCAAGCCACGGCUAACUACGUGCCAGCAGCCGCGGUAAUACGUAGGUGGCAAGCGUUGUCCGGAAUUACUGGGUGUAAAGGGAGCGCAGGCGGGAAGCCAA
rnacentral:rRNA from 1 species